UUUUGGCGGGGUGGCUAUACAUGCAGUCGAGCGGACAGAUGGGAGCUUGCUCCCUGAUGUUAGCGGCGGACGGGUGAGUAACACGUGGGUAACCUGCCUGUAAGACUGGGAUAACUCCGGGAAACCGGGGCUAAUACCGGAUGGUUGUUUGAACCGCAUGGUUCAAACAUAAAAGGUGGCUUCGGCUACCACUUACAGAUGGACCCGCGGCGCAUUAGCUAGUUGGUGAGGUAACGGCUCACCAAGGCAACGAUGCGUAGCCGACCUGAGAGGGUGAUCGGCCACACUGGGACUGAGACACGGCCCAGACUCCUACGGGAGGCAGCAGUAGGGAAUCUUCCGCAAUGGACGAAAGUCUGACGGAGCAACGCCGCGUGAGUGAUGAAGGUUUUCGGAUCGUAAAGCUCUGUUGUUAGGGAAGAACAAGUACCGUUCGAAUAGGGCGGUACCUUGACGGUACCUAACCAGAAAGCCACGGCUAACUACGUGCCAGCAGCCGCGGUAAUACGUAGGUGGCAAGCGUUGUCCGGAAUUAUUGGGCGUAAAGGGCUCGCAGGCGGUUUCUUAAGUCUGAUGUGAAAGCCCCCGGCUCAACCGGGGAGGGUCAUUGGAAACUGGGGAACUUGAGUGCAGAAGAGGAGAGUGGAAUUCCACGUGUAGCGGUGAAAUGCGUAGAGAUGUGGGAGGAACACCAGUGGCGAAGGCGACUCUCUGGUCUGUAACUGACGCUGAGGAGCGAAAGCGUGGGGAGCGAACAGGAUUAGAUACCCUGGUAGUCCACGCCGUAAACGAUGAGUGCUAAGUGUUAAGGGGGUUUCCGCCCCUUAGUGCUGCAGCUAACGCAUUAAGCACUCCGCCUGGGGGAGUACGGUCGCAAGACUGAAACUCAAGGAAUUGACGGGGGCCCGCACAAGCGGUGGAGCAUGUGGUUUAAUUCGGAAGCAUCGCGAAGAACCUUACCAGGUCUGACAUCUCUGACAUCUAGAAGAUAGACGUCCCU
rnacentral:rRNA from 1 species